GAAAACAGGGAGAGACAAACGGCUUAACGGUCAUAUGUGGAGCAAGUAAAUUCCCAGAGACAACUAGUCCAACUAGUCUACUUUCCUCUGCUAGAUUCAAAUCAACUUACUGGAGUAAUGAAACUCUCUUUCACACUCAUCCUUAUUUUCAUCUGUUCAACACAGGUUCAAUCGGCCCAAAUCCGCGGCCAGGAGCUGUGGUGCGUGGCCAAGAACAACGCCGAGGAUGCGGCCCUUCAGUCCGCUCUCGAUUGGGCCUGUAGCUCCGGUGGUGCUGAUUGUACCGCUAUCCAACAAGGCGGCCCCUGCUAUGAUCCAGCCGAUAUUCAGCGAACGGCGUCGUUCGCUUUCAAUGAUUACUUUCUCAAGCAUGGCUUGACUGAAGAUAGCUGUAAUUUUGACAAUGCUGCUGCUCUCACUUCUCUCAACCCCAGUCGUGCUAAUUGUAAAUUCCCAUCAAGCUCAACAGGCAAAAAUGUGAACUUUACUGAUUCAUCGUCUGUGGGAACAGGUCCAACGUUUGCAGAUAUUAAUAACAGCAAUUAUCUCGGUUGCCCAAAAUUUUGGGCCUUAAUACCAUUAAUUCACAUAAUCUUUGGAUUGGUAUUCUGAAAGUGCUGACGACUGGUUGUGUUGAUAAUGUUAGCAUAUCAAGUGAAAAAGCGAAGGCAGAGAAUUUUUUGUAGAAAGUAUGCGGCAUGUAUCACUUCUUAGGCAAGGAAAAAGAAUUAUGUGUAGAAGCCUAGAAGGCUUCGCAGCUUCUGGUGUGGCUACUACAGGCGUAAGCACGACCUUCAUUGGCUCUGCCACAGUCCUACAAACCGCACAGGUUGUGUUUGUACCUAACCAUGUAUCAAUACAAGCUACAUGGAAAUUGUGUUCGCAAUUUGGUAAAAAUCUAAUCAUUUCGCCAUCCUCUAAGUUACUUAUGCAAACUGCACACUCUAUAGCGCCGUCCUUAAGGUCAUGUCUGAAAACAAUAGUCGGCAGUGAUUCAAUGAUUGCUAGAUCAAGUCCGGUCACUGGUGGUUCAUGAGGGAGGCCUAGCAGUCCGAGGGCUGUGCGACGACGGGCUUGACGAUGAAGAACACACCUUACAUAUAUGAAAACGAGUAUGACAAGUAUUACAAAGAAUGAUACUGAUACUAUAGCUAUGACUAACAUUGUGCCAUGAACAUUGUAGCUUCUUCCAGGAUCGUUGUCGUUGACAUCCAUGCCUGACCCACUACUAAUAUUUUGUGGAACUUGGAGAUUAGAUGGAGAGAACCUGUUGUUUUUGUGUGUGAAGUGGCUGAUAAGAGAAGCUGCAUGGCUAUUAAUAUAACAGAAAAAAUGAGUACUAUAUAACAAGGAAAUGAAUGGGAAACAGGUUCUAUGGUUUUCGAAAGGGUGAAAAUCAAACAGAACAAGAUUUGAUUAACUAAAAUAUACGGAUUACGUUUGUACAAUUACUGCCCUACAUCCAAAAAUGGUAUCCUAGUGGACAGUUGACACUCGACUAUUGACUUG